CGCGGUUUCCCAUCAAGCACUCUCAGACAGACGUGAAUCACCAUUCAUCUCAUUUAUCAGUGUGAGAGCUGGGCUGAUGUUCAGAUUACAAAUCCUUCCAGACGCUUGUUGAUGGAGCUUUAUGUUUCAAUAGGAAUAGGAGAAGAGUUAAAGACCCAACGCAUCGCCUUUUCUCUCUAAGGACAUCAUGCUGUUUUUUGGAGAAUAGAUCAAUGAAUGACUGUCGAUUUGCUAAUCCACGAAGGGGAAAUAACAAAGGCUUUAGGUUCAGAAAUGCGUCUUACAAUGGGAAUGGAAAUCAGAGACAAUCGUCAAGCCCUUACUGUGGAAUAUUUCCCUGGAUCCGAGCCUCAAACAAACCCAGAUCAUAAGCAGCAAGGCAGGCGACACAGCUUGUGUUUAUCCAUGCCAAAUAUCCACACAAUCAGCCGUGACGAAUCAGCCAGCACAUCCCCUUGAAAAAUAUGAAAUGUGUGGCAAUGGGGCAUUCUGGGAAUGUGGGAGAUAGGAGUCAGAGCAAACAUCACUCUCCACAAAAUAAUGGAUGUCCGUUAACCAAUUCUGGAGCUAAUCAUCCACAGAGGCACCAGAGCCCUCUGAUGUGUUUUCUGACCUAGCCAAGGAUGACACCCCUCCCUGAAAACAAAGUUUCAAAGGUACAGCACCGGCUUCACUUUACUACAACUAUCCCACACGGACCAUCCAUUGCACGCCAUGACAGGUCCGAAUUUAAAUUGGGGAUAAUUGCAGGGUACCAAGUGCCACAGACAUUUCAAAACAGGAAAUCAAUAUGCUGCCAUUUCUGAGGGUCUGGAUGUGUCUCUGAUGACCAGUGAUUGAUACUGGUGCUCAUCAUCAUCAUCAUGUACAGUCACGGCACAGAAUUUACAUCUUCUUUUCUUCCAGCAUUCGUCUUGUGUGCGGCAAACCUGAACAAAUCAUCGAUAGGCAAGUGUGUUGUCUACCAUUAGCCAGACAGAAAUUCAGAAUCAAAAUGUUCUUUAUAUUUACCCAUAUGAGAGUUACAAUGCAAUAAAAACAUACUGCAAGUUUCAGAAUUCAAACAAACCCAAUUUAAAUUAUUUUCUACCCUUCUUUAAGGAUUUGAAAUCAGGAGAAUGGUGACGUCACGAUUUCCCUUGACACGCCCUUAACAACUCGUGUCUGUCCAUCAAUCACAAGAGCUAUAAUGAUGUCCAAUAAAGCAGUCCUGAGCAUGGAAUCCUUGGAGGAAACACAGCUCUAUCACAGCGCUUGCCAUCUCGAGCAUCAAAACACCCAACAUGCUGUAAAGGAGGGCGUGGCUACGGUGUGAUGAAGUCAGCCAAUCACAGCAGGGGGCGUUUACUUCUGUUUCUGCUAGCGGAAACGCCCCUUUAAACUGAGUGAAAAUGAGGAUGGAAAAUCAUAUUUUUUACAAAUAAGUUUUUUAAUGCAAAAAAAAUGCAUUUUAUGACCCCUUUAAAUAAAUGAGAGCAAAUGGGUGCAAAAUGAAAUUUUGUUCCUCUUUUGAAAUAUUAUGCAAGAUAUAUGUGAAAUAUCAGAUUUCAGACCUGAGGCAAGUCAUGUAAUCACACUGCACAACCUAAUAAUUAAUUAGAUUUCACACAGGGAAUGAUGAUUCCAUUAACCUGUCCCAGGACGGUCAAUUUAUACCUGUUCAAAUUAAUAAAAAGAGACUGUACCCGAACACAACGUUGCUUAUAGGCUAUUCCUUCAGAGCCUCUCCUGACAUCUGUUUAUCACAGAGGACAUUUGAAUCAUUUUUUAUCCCCUUUUUCUUUAAACCUGCUGUAUCCAGUUUCAGUGUGUUGGUAAAAAGCCAUAGAGCCCAGGGACAAUUUGCAUGGGUUCAGUGAGUUGGCUGCUGGCCAUAGAUCUGCAGGAUUUUAAAUUUGACUUCAAAUUUUACAUUGGACAUUAAAAAAUAAGUCAUUUGGGUCAAAUACACUGUAUGCACAAAAACUCAUCAUCAUACUCAGCUGAAAUGCAAUCACCUAAAACUAGUCUUAAUAGUUAAUAGUUUUAAAAUAUGCAAAAUUAUCAGUCAAUCUUGAACAACAAUCAUGUAGCAGAACC
ensembl:lncRNA